ACACCUAUGUUGUUGUGCCUUACUACUGGGUUGUUCUCAGUCAUUGCACUCUGACCCCUGCGAAUUCCCCAAAUGUGAGAAUCUCGACUGCAUCAUUCCUGAUAGUGGGGCCUGCGUUCAUGCUCUCCCCUG
ensembl:snRNA U1 U1 spliceosomal RNA